rfam:Parcubacteria bacterium GW2011_GWC2_44_22 TW45_C0018, whole genome shotgun sequence.
CAGUUGGCUGUGACACAAAAAAACGCAGCUUUUCCGAGAAAUCGGGAUUGAAAAAUGAGGUGAAUUGCUGGAAGCCUAAAGUUCGAGAGUAAUCGGGCUAUGGUAAUCAGCAGCCAAGCCAGCCAAUGUGGCGGGAAGGUUCAGAGACUAUCCCUUUGGGAGUAAUCCGAUUUAUGUCGGGUGAAGCGCCUCAUGCCCUGAAGAGGGGCAAUGAUAUAGUCCACGCCCAAUGGAAACAUUGAG